UCCGUUUUCUUAUUCUCUUCAUUUUUUUUCCAUUGCCCCGAUUCAGAAACCAGGCGAUUAGGCGAAGACACGGGAUUUAUGCCUAAUCAAUCUAAAGAUGAAACUUGGAGAUGGAAACACUUAUGUCUUCUACGAGACAAAACUUCUCCAGCUUUGAAGCUUGCGCUUGGCUUUAUUGCUUCUCAUUAUGAAGACUUGGAGUGAUUUCGAAGGAGUACCCACUACUUAGGAGCUUGUUUCUUCACCUUGGGUGUUCAAUUUGGUUGCCGCAUUUUAUCGAACAGGUUUGUUGAAGAAGACAAACACGUAGCUCUUUGGUCAUCAAUUUCCCCUUUCUUCUUUGACUUUGAUUUUGAAAGGAAAUCCACCGACCUUGUUUUGAUUUCAAAAGCAGCAGAGCCAAAGUUUCAAGGACUCUCUUUGCUCGGAUUUUUUUGUUAUGAUAGUUUGACAGGGAAGCCUCCCCCCCCCCCCCUCUCUUUUUUUUGCUGUCAGUGAGGACGAAAGAGAUGGGUCCUAUUGAAUUCUGUUUGACAUUCCUUGUGGAUUCGUUGCAGGUUUCGGUCAAGGCAACUUUGAGCUGAGCAGUUUUGUGGUGCUGCUGGGACUUUAAAGAACAAGGAAUCGCUGCUGGGAUUUCAAGAACCAAUGGCCAUCGCUGGAAUUUGAGGAUGAUACAACGCCCUGGGGUGCGCCGUGCAGCUCUGAAACAGUAUUGGUACCCUAAAGUACAGCCACCGGAGCUUUGAAGACUAUGUCGGCACCCUAAGGCACGCCGUGUCGGAGCUCGAUAUCACUGGAGGCCUGCAUCAUUUGAGAAUAGAAAAGGAAAAGGUGCAAUUCGGUGAAAGUCUCACCCUCUUCUUUCUUGCUUUCUUCCUCUCCUCUGCUGCUUCCCGGUCCUCCUGACGCUGCUAUGUUCUGCUCGCGUUGGUCCCCCUCACGCAGCUAUCUCCUCACAUCCUCCCCUUUUUUUUUGCCGUAGAGUCUCUCUAUAUAUAUAGGCAACUUGGGUUUGCCAAGAUGACGUGAUCAUGAGAGUUGGACUCAAACAUAUUAUCAAGGCUGAGAGUUUGUGAUUAAUUUGGCAUCAGUAACUCCACCUUUAUGAACGUGUAUACUUCAGGUUCAUUGUUGUAUUCUUCUACUUCUCUCUUUUGAAUUUGAACAAAGCUACAGCAAUCUAACAGUCGCUAGACUUCUAGAAGAAGCAUGCUACUUUUACA